rnacentral:lncRNA from 1 species
AUCAGUAUUUUGGGAACGUCGUCGUCAAUUACUACUUUGUCGUCCUUGCCCUGGUUUAAAUAACAACUAGCCUAGUAUGUAUACAUACGAGUAACUUGUAAAAAUGAGCAUGUAUUGGAAAUUCGCAUAUAUUGAUUGUGAAACAUGACUAUUAAAGUAAAAAAAAAAAAAAAGUGAUCUGUAAUGGGUUAUUAAUCUUAUGAUUAUCAUGCUUUGUAUGUUGCUGUAUCAGAUAUUGAAUUGAUCUUUAUAAUUGGGCUAACCACUCGAAUUUUCAUCAAACCAAUUUAACAGCAAAAAUGGUACCAUCAGUUUCAUGGGAAUUGGUCGAAUUCUCGAUCUAUUAACCUCGUAAUAAUAAUAAGUCAGUCUGUCGGUUGUCUUCUUCGAUUAAUUUUAUUUUUCUGUUGUAAAGUUGAAGUUUGGUUACUCAGAAGAAAACUAGGAAAACAGAAAAGAAGGUAUAGAAAUGAAUGCAGAGAAAUAAUUAAAUGAAUUCUAAUGAAGGGAGUGAAACUGAUUGAUUUGAUGAUUCGCCCUUAGCAUAAAGCACGAAAACGAAGGUUAUAGAAGUAUCAUUGGCACCUAACGUACGCUUUUGUUAUAAUUCGUUUAACAUAAACGAAAAGUCAUUAGUCACAUGUAGAUUACAUUUCAUAUAAUUUUAAUAAAGGUAUAAACACACACAAAAAAAGAGCUCUUUAAAACUUAAUAAUAUUUUCUAGUCAUUGGCAAAUAAAAAAGAAAAGAAAAAGGUGACACUUAUGAUCAUACUAACAAUGCAUAGUAUGUGUAGGGGUAGUUCACACCUUCUAGAAGUCAUUCCAGUUGCAAAUUAAACGUCUUCAACCAAAUGAGGAAAUGCUUUUAAAACCACAAAAGAGUAUAAAUUUUCAUACUAGCAAAUAACCAAACAACAACAAAAGAAUCAUGGAAAGAUACCAAGUUACCAACAAGAGUACACAUAAUUCGCAAACCCAACAAAAGUUGGCGCUAAAGAGAAACUCAAUGAGGUUUUUGUUUUUACGAACAAAGUUACGUAUUAAUGUUGGGUUACUCACUUACUUGCCUCUGAGUGGAUUUUUUUUAAUUUUCUUUCCUCCCUCAAAAUACUAAUCAUAUGAAAAAGGAAAAGAACACAAAAAUAAUUUAGGGGAAGAUCAUAUGAAAAUCAUACUAUCUUAAUCCCCAUAUGAAAAAGAAAAUCAUAGUAGUAAGAUGCACUUAAUCUAAUCAUAACACAAGUUGACAAAGAAAAGUUCUGAAUUGUAACUUACAUAUACAAAAUUUCAUAAUAAUUAAAAAAACAAUUUAGGAGAAUAUAAAUAAAGUUUCGAAAUUUUCGAUGAAAGUGGAUCACUGAUAUAACUGAUCUGUUGCCCACAUUAUCGCUUUACAUUGACCACUUUUUUUUCCCUUUUAUUUAUUUAAUUUUUGGUGUGCACCACCAGUAUAUAUAUAUUAAGCUUAAUGAACAAAUAUUUGGUUGUGUAAAUGUAUAAUUUCAUCUGACAAAGAUUAACAAAUCAAAACAAAAGGGGGAAAUUGACCGUUUUAUUACUAUCAAAUUCAUUUAAAUUUUUUAAAAAUACAGUUAUGGACAGAGCUUGACUUGACUGGCGAUGGCUGCAGAUGAACAGAGUUUUAAAGAACGACUCAAAAUCAAGCAAAUAUAAAGCUCACGUAGUAGUGAUUAAAACAUAAAAUAUUAUUAUUGAAAAAAAAACUAUGUGCUUUUUUUCUUUAAUAUAUGAUGCCUCCAAUCCCAAUCGGAGAACAUAAAAACCUCCCAAAGGGUUCUCUGUUCUAUCUGAAACAAAAAUAAAAUAAAAGAACCCGGAAUGGGUUUUUUGUUGUCUUUUGUUUUGGUCUUUUUGGAUGACUAAAAGAAAACAAAAAAAAAAUAAAAACAAUGAUGAUGACGAUAAAAAUGCAAAACUGGAGAUGGCAGAGAUUGGUCUCUCUUAAGACAUGACUGACUAAUGAGAGUCGACCUGACUCAUCUUGAUAAGCCUCUCUUUUAUCUUUUUAAGGAUAAAUAUAGAGAGAAGCUUACUUUAAAAUAAUGCAGCCAAAUGAGACACUGACGAUUGGCUUUUUUUCAAGGCGCUGAAGCCGUGGAGAAAUCAGGAUGCAGAUGAUUGCUUCUCCAGUUUCUCCUUUAGAAUCUCGGCUCUUCUCUGCUCCGUGUGCUGAGCUAUAGUGCUUGCGAGUCCAUGGUAGUGCGGGUCUAGAGUCUGGGUAAGGCCUUGGAACCUUGUAGAGUCUGAUGCUUGCAUUCCUAUUGAAACAAAACCAAAUUUAAUGCUUAUAUGUCAAAUAUAUACAUGGCAAAAACAAAAACAAAAAUCAUAUUAUAUAAUAUCGUUUCUCUCAUAAUACCUGUGACUGCAUCCAUGAAUAGAACGAAAGGAUCCACUUCAUCAAUUGGAGAGUCUAAUUCCUCAUCAUCGCUGAAAUCAUCGUCUGAAAAGUCAUCAUCGUCGCUGUAAGAGCGGAAGUCCUUUGCCUAAUGAUAAUACACAAAAGAAGCAACUUAACUUAGUGAGCUACUACGACAAGCACACUGCACCUUUCAUGAUAUCAUUUAGAGGAUUAGAUUCAGUGGUUAAAGAAGACAGACCUGUGCUGCUAACUUGCGGAGCGUGCUUCCAUCAGUUUCAUCUGGAUUCUCGUCAUCACCAUCCUCAUCCUCAUCAUCUGACUGGAAUUCAUCCAUGUCGUCGUCAUCUUCCUCGUCUUCUUCCUCUUCUGCCUUUGCAGCUUCUGUCAUAAAUGUUCAAAUAUGAGUAUCGGCGAGGGUCAAUGGUAAGAGAAAUGGGAAAUAGUAGAUGGCACUGACCAGCAAGCUGAUCCUUGUAUGCCACUAAAAGCUCGAGAAGAGCCCUGAAUACAUGUUGCAAGACCUCUACGGGCAAUUGUCCAGCAGGGAGACUGAAAAGUGAUGUCAACCCCAAUAUGCAAACUUUCUUAUCAUGCUCUCUGCAUGUAAAGCAAGGAAGAUAAUUUACAUCUUGAAGGAAAUGUGAAGAGAAGAGAAAGAUAGAGGUUCAAAAAGAUUGGAUUUACCCACCUCUUGAAGUUAGCAUAUCCACCACUCUUCUUCUUUUCUUGCAGCAUUUGGAACCAUAGAGUAAAAAUUUCUGUUGCGAUACCAAACCGUUGCAGUAUGCCAAGUGCCAAAGGGGUAUUGUAGUAAAAGGCAUUUGCAAUCUGCCCAAGGGUAUUAUCACAGGGAUAUAUUCAAAAAUUAUUGCCAAUCAGGAAGUAAAACACAUAGCUUAACUCAGUGAAAGACAGCUAAAUGACUUCAUGAUGCACACAGUUUAACAGCGUCUACUUUGCUUACCACUUCAACCAGAAGACACUUGAAAGAAGAUUUCUCAGCACCUCGUAGCCGAUCUAGUGUGAUUCUCAUGUAGGGCUCCACCCAUUGAUCCACCUGCCCCUUACAAGUCUGAAGCACUAACCCUAAUAGCUUUGGAGCUGGCUCAAGGUCACUGUCAUCAAUAUUUUUAUUCGCCAUAAGCUGCCAUGAGAAGGAAUUAUCAAGUUAACCGAUAUAUAAGUAUGUGUUCACUGGGUGGGAAAAAGGAUGAUGCCAUCUUUUUUUUUUCUUAAAUGAGUAAACGGCAACUAUCAGAUAUUGAGCUUACCACAGAGAUCACACUCCAGAGACUUUGCUGGUAAUCUGGUUCCUUGCAAGUGAGAUAAUGUCCAGUCCCCCUGGAUAUGUAGUUGUGCAGUGGGACCAAUAAAUCUAAUAAUAUUCAAAAGAAGGAUCAGGCAAAAAGGAAAAGUAAAUAAGAAAAGUGAAUGAGUUUUAUGAAAACAGAAACGGCAAAAAAGGACUGCAUGUUCAUACUUGGGAAGAAGUCAAUUGCCCAAUCCACGAGUGCUUCCAUCAUUAAAGGCCAUAAGCUCCACAUAUCCAAUGAUAUUGUAGGUGAAAAAGUAGUAAUAUAUGAGACGAUCUCCAAAACCUCUUCAAACACAUCUGGCCAGAUAAAAUAUAUAGAUGAAGCACAAUGUUUAAAACAAGUACAAAUGACAUCAAUCCCAAUGCAUUAAAUACACAUCAUUCAAAAGAACCAAGCAAAUGAUUAACAAUUCCAGAGCUUAUAGAAUUUCUAAAACAGUAUGCAUACCUUGACCAUCAGUUGUCAGCAUUUUCCGCAUUAUUGGCAACAAAUGUGGUUCAAUCUGACCAUAGAGAUGAGGGAGACUACUGAUAGAUUCAAGAAUUGUACUGAUGGCACGGAGACAUCCCACUGCAGCCAAUGCACCAGCAUCAUCAGUUUCAUCAUCACCGUUGUCAGUGUCGAUACACCUCCAAAAUGCACUGGCCUGGAAUUUAUUAUCAUGAACAAGGUAUAAUAGGGCUAAAAGUAAUAUAAAACUAAAAAAGGGGACACUACAGUAUAUUAUCUUACCAAAUUCUGGCACAAACCCAAAGCAUAAGGAGAAAUCUCCUCUCCAAACUUAUACACAAUAGUUUCUAAAGUAAAAGCAAGGUCUUCAUUUUCAACUUCAUUCAUUAGCUUGAAAAAUUCUGCACAGCACAAGUCCAUUCCGAUUAUUAGUUAGUUAACACAAUGUUCUGUUUUAGCGAAAUAACUUGAAAUGGAAAAAGUAAAAUCAUUUGUAUAGCGUACCAUCAAGAAGCUGGGGAAGAACUGGGCGAAUCUCAUCUAGAUCUGCAGGGGAGAUAAAUUUAGUCGAAUAUACAAUUCCAUGUUAAACACAAAAAGUCUGAAGGGUAGGAAAAUCUUAAGAAAGAAAGAAACAUAUUUUUCUGGUGGUGCUGAUACUUACUUUUGCAGGCUUCAAUGAAUGACCGCAAAGCAAAAACUGAAUCCACCCGAACAGGAAGUUCGGGAUCACGCAUUCCGGAGAUAACACAAUGCAGUGCCUUGGAAAAGUUGCUCUGGUCUGAGAAAUUGAUAUGGGCAUAUUGCCCUGCAACCCAUGCAGCCUACACAGUAGAUGAGAUAAAGAAAUAAGCUUGACAAGUUACAAUAUCCAUGUGAUGAAAGCAAUGUGGAUGAUGCAAAACAAUCACAGGUUGUUUGGUCACAGAAACCCUAGAAAGAUAACAAUGAAUAAAUAAUUCAGUCACUGCAGCAUCUACGCGGGCAUAUCCUAUACCAAAAACAUAGUCCUUCGAGAAUUUGACAUGGUAGUGAUAUAUACAAGACGUUCAGAUGUUCAGGCACAGAUGUUCAGAUGUUCAGGCACAGAUGUUCAAAUUGUUUUGUCACAGAAACCCUAGAAAGAUAACAAUGAACAAAUAAUUCAGUCACUGCAGCAUCUAAGCGAGCAUAUCCUAUACCAAAAAAUAAUCCUUCGAGAAUUCACAUGGUAGUGAUAUAUACAAGAAGUUCAGAUGUUCAGGCACAGAGCUUCACAAAGCAGUAAAAGAUAAUUUGAAGCAAAUGGAGAUAGAGUAAAUUCAAAACAUCAGGUAACUGGUAGUAGGUAUCUGCAACAUCUUUGAGCACAUGAAUAGAUGAUAAUGAAUAAAAAUAUGGCUUAAACCAAAUCUGUCACUAAUACCUUAGCUCUAAGAUGACCAGCCGGGCUGCUAAAUUCAGGAAAAACGUGUUGCACUAACAUAUUCUCUAGCUCAGACUUGUAGGGUUCAUUUUGCCUAAGUUUAUCACAAAGUGUCCCAACAGCAAGCAGAGCACCAUCCUUAAGGCGAUAAGGCUUUUCUCCCAGAGAUGCUUCAUUAUAUCUAAAACAAAUAAACGAUGUAAUCAUAUCAUGUCGGAAUAAUAAAAUAUCCUUUUCUAUUUUUUGUAGACGAAGCUUGAAGUUACCUCUUAAAAAUGUCCACGAUGAACUGUAUAAAUCUUGGGAAAUUUUCUUUUCCACGCUUUCUGAUUAGCUCAGUCACAAAGUCCAUAGACGCAGUCCUGGGACUGUAUAAAUCUUCAAUGAUAUCUGUAGACAGAUAAUGUUUUAUUGUAGUUAGAAAAAGAAAGUAAAAAAAAAACAUACAAGGCAUAUUUUAGGAUUAUCCAAACAAUACAAGGUAGACUUUAUGGACAUACCAUAACCCUUCCGUACAUACUCAUGUGGGUCUUCAUCCCAAAGCAUUUGAUCAUUAUCAUUGAAGCACAUAAGUGGAAAAACUAUUUCAAAAAGUAGAGUAUGAAGGUGUGGCUGCAGUAAGUUGUACAUGCUAUUCUUCGAGAUACUGCAGAGACAUAGAUAGCCAAUAAGAAUUAUGGUACCCCAUACAUAAUAAAGAAAUCAGUAUGCAAAUAGAGCAGUUAUCGGUUUUGAAGGAAACAAUAAAUAUGCAACUAGAAAAUCAAUCCAAGACAUAAUAAUUACGGCUCUGGUUAGACGUGAGAAAAGAUAUGAAAACACCAGCAAUUUUUUAAACCAGAAGAAAAUAUUACUAGCUAGAGUCUCCAAUAAAGCCAAAAGAACCUAUACUGGGGACAUCAGGUGCAAUGAUUUUUUCAUGUCAAUAUCUCCAGAGAACUCAUAUUCAAAUAAAUUUCUAAAGUUGGUCAAAAUUUUGCCAGAGAGUAUAUCAGACCUGUUGCUUAGAUAUUGAAGAAUUAGGUUGAUGACUCUAUCUGGAAGAUAUCCACCAAUACGUACGGUAUUCAACAGUUUCAGGUGGCAUUCUAAUAUCUUCGCUGCAUAAUUCGUCUGGAACAUUUGGGCAAAGGCUUUGUUAUCCGGAUUCUGAAGUUUCAGAUCUCCAAACCUAAAUAGGUUCAUAAAAUUGUUAAGUCAAGGCAGAUGAAAAAAAUGUUAGGUUGUAAGUCAAUGGUAGGAUUUCAAUGUUCCUGCAUACCGAGUGUACAGCCUGUUUAAAAUGUGAGCAACCCAUUUUUUGACCUUCCACCACCCCCAAGAUUUCCUAAGCUCAGGGUCUUCAGGCUGGCCUUCUAUGGGAACAGGACGUUCCAAAAUGUUUAGGAACAAACCCAUCCAAGCAUUAAACAAGUUUGGAUCAAAUAAUGGUCUUGGGAGCUCUAGCUGUAUGGAACAAGGAUACACGAGAAUUAUAAAAUAGAACUUCAUUACCAACCUCCUAAAACCCAUAUACUUCUUACAAAAAAAAAAAUCCACAAAAUUCCCCAGUUGAAGCCAGGGAACAGCUACAAACAAUUAAGGAUAAUUACUGCAAGAUGUAAAACUUACAUAAAUACACGACCAAAAUAUCUUGCAUACAAGCUUGAUAUGGUCUGCCACUUCGAGAGAAGGAUUUUCAACAUGGACGAGAUUGUUAAAUAUAUUCAAAAGGUGCGGAAAGGUCUCCUCGACUACUCGGUGAAUGGGUGCCCUGUCUUCAUCUGACUUAAACCUAUAAACAGAAAGUGGGAAAAGCAGAAAGGGAACUUAAAAAUGUAUAUCUGAUUGAAUCUGCAAGGUGUUGCUCUGAUUUUAAAUAUGAUAUUGAUAGUCAAACUCUUCCUGAGACAGUAUCAACCCCACAGUGAUAUGUAACCCAAGCUAAUCUAAAUGCGCAUAUCUUUCCGACUAAUCUACUACUGAUAAUUAUGCCAUGAUUUUGCAAGUUCAAGAAUUGAGCCCACAGGAAUUACAUAAGCUAAUAAUGGCUGCAAAGAUAUAAACCUCUAGGACUCUCAAAACUGAGCAGUGUAAAUAAAAUCUACAAAGCACUAUGCAAGAGGCAGAGCACCAAUAAAGAACACUAGUGAUUAUAGAAUCCGAUUUGUAUCAUUAUCAUUAAUAAUAAGAGGAGCUGAAGCAUAAUGGCAAAUAAAAGUUUGAUUUAUGGGGAUAAGAAGAGUCAAAAAUUGGAAAAAAAAAUAUUAAAUUAAUUGACCAAAAGGGUAUAGAGGAACUCUAUUUCUCAUAAAAGACAAGGAAAUUUUCAGAGGAAGAACAAACAUAAUAAGAUGACUGAAAAAGGCCAAUUGCUAAUCUAUGCUUGUGACAUGAACUACGAACAGGAAAAUAAAUAAGUUGAGCUACAAUUCUUAUGCACAUGGUGAUUUGGACAGUC